rnacentral:rRNA from 1 species
GCGACCCCAGGUCAGGCGGGACUACCCGCUGAGUUUAAGCAUAUCAAUAAGCGGAGGAAAAGAAACUAACAAGGAUUCCCUUAGUAGCUGCGAGCGAACCGGGAGGUGCCCAGCG